AGAGUUUGAUCCUGGCUCAGAUUGAACGCUGGCGGCAGGCCUAACACAUGCAAGUCGAGCGGAAACGAGUUGUCUGACCCUUCGGGGAACGACAACGGCGUCGAGCGGCGGACGGGUGAGUAAUGCCUGGGAAAUUGCCCUGAUGUGGGGGAUAACCAUUGGAAACGAUGGCUAAUACCGCAUAAUAGCUUCGGCUCAAAGAGGGGGACCUUCGGGCCUCUCGCGUCAGGAUAUGCCCAGGUGGGAUUAGCUAGUUGGUGAGGUAAAGGCUCACCAAGGCGACGAUCCCUAGCUGGUCUGAGAGGAUGAUCAGCCACACUGGAACUGAGACACGGUCCAGACUCCUACGGGAGGCAGCAGUGGGGAAUAUUGCACAAUGGGCGCAAGCCUGAUGCAGCCAUGCCGUUGUGUGUGAAGAAGGCCUUCGGGUUGUAAAGCAC
rnacentral:rRNA from 1 species